rnacentral:rRNA from 1 species
AGUGAACGCUGGCGGUAGGCCUAACACAUGCAAGUCGAACGGCAGCACAGUAAGAGCUUGCUCUUACGGGUGGCGAGUGGCGGACGGGUGAGGAAUACAUCGGAAUCUACUUUUUCGUGGGGGAUAACGUAGGGAAACUUACGCUAAUACCGCAUACGACCUACGGGUGAAAGCAGAGGAUCUUCGGACCUUGCGCGAUUGAAUGAGCCGAUGUCGGAUUAGCUAGUUGGCGGGGUAAAGGCCCACCAAGGCGACGAUCCGUAGCUGGUCUGAGAGGAUGAUCAGCCACACUGGAACUGAGACACGGUCCAGACUCCUACGGGAGGCAGCAGUGGGGAAUAUUGGACAAUGGGCGAAAGCCUGAUCCAGCCAUACCGCGUGGGUGAAGAAGGCCUUCGGGUUGUAAAGCCCUUUUGUUGGGAAAGAAAAGCAGCAGGUUAAUACCCCGAUGUUCUGACGGUACCCAAAGAAUAAGCACCGGCUAACUUCGUG